AUUGAACGCUGGCGGCAGGCUUAACACAUGCAAGUCGAGCGGAGAUGAGGUGCUUGCACCUUAUCUUAGCGGCGGACGGGUGAGUAAUGCUUAGGAAUCUGCCUAUUAGUGGGGGACCACAUUCCGAAAGGAAUGCUAAUACCGCAUACGUCCUACGGGAGAAAGCAGGGGAUAUUCGGACCUUGCGCUAAUAGAUGAGCCUAAGUCGGAUUAGCUAGUUGGUGGGGUAAAGGCCUACCAAGGCGACGAUCUGUAGCGGGUCUGAGAGGAUGAUCCGCCACACUGGGACUGAGACACGGCCCAGACUCCUACGGGAGGCAGCAGUGGGGAAUAUUGGACAAUGGGGGGAACCCUGAUCCAGCCAUGCCGCGUGUGUGAAGAAGGCCUUAUGGUUGUAAAGCACUUUAAGCGAGGAGGAGGCUACUGAGACUAAUACUCUUGGAUAGUGGACGUUACUCGCAGAAUAAGCACCGGCUAACUCUGUGCCAGCCGCCGCUGUAA
rnacentral:rRNA from 1 species